rnacentral:lncRNA from 1 species
GCAAGACCCUCCGACGCUCAAGUCAGUUCUCUGCCUUAACAAGAAUGGAGUGCUCGAACGGAGAAUUUAGCAGAGUUUUGAGGUAAAAAAUUAGAGCUUAUUGAAUAACGUAUCUGGGGCCCCCUUUUAUAGGCGGAGGGGGCAGUAGCCUGAUAGCGACAUCUGUAACCAUCUGGCAGUGGGCUGCCCAGGGUCAGGCG